rnacentral:ncRNA from 1 species
UCCUUGGCCGACAGGUCCGGGAAACCCGUUGAUCCCCGGUCGUGCUAGGGAUAGGGAAUUGCAAUUAUUUCCCUUGAACGAGGAAUUCCCAGUAAGCGCGAGUCAUUAGCUCGCGUUGAUUACGUCCCUGCCCUUUGUACACACCGCCCGUCGCUACUACCGAUUGAAUGGUUUAGUGAGGUCCUCCGAUUGGACCCGGUCCGGGCGGCGACGUCCGAGCCGGCGUCCGAGAAGACGAUCUAACUUGAUCAUUUAGAGGAAGUAAAAGUCGUAACAAGGUUUCCGUAGGUGAACCUGCGGAAGGAUCAUUA